UCAAGAUGUUUGAAUCACUCUUCACAAGAUACAUCUGUGUGUCUGAUGGGCACAGAUAAAGGUCUGAAAGGUCACACUUGAACUAAAACCAGUGGUCACCCUCUGAGCUAAAGAGUUCAGAAUUCUUCCCUAUAGAAGAAAGCAUCGGCAGCAGCAAAGUUUGAAAGCGGAAUUUCCUGAGAAUGUGGGUGAAUAAUGAUAAACAUAAGCGACUGCAGCACUGGGCCAUCUCAUGAACAAACCGCUCUCUCUGUCAGAUGAGUGUUUGCCAGCUUUGUCUUCAUUGAUUCAAGUAUCAGUCUCUUCGGCUGUGCCUCACUCAAGGUGUGCAAAACCACCACCACAGCCUCGCGCACACUGCCCUGCACAGCCCGUUGUCCUAGAGGUACAUGCUUGACAGGGAGCGGGCCCCCUACAUACCUGCUAACCAAGCAGAUCCAGUUUCUCCUUAUAUUGUUUCACGCUGGGGCAUUAAUGAGCUUAGUCACUGAUGAGGCAAAAAAAUCAACCAGCUGGGAACUGGGGCGUGGACAUUCUUGCUCCUUAGCAAUUACUGAACGCUCUCUUACUCAUCUACCAGACGCCACACUGUUUAUUGUGAU